AUUGAACGCUGGCGGCAGGCCUAACACAUGCAAGUCGAGCGGCGCGGCGGACGGGUGAGGAAUGCCUAGGAAUGUGACUGGUAGUGGGGGAUAACGUCAGGAAACGGGCGCUAAUACCGCAUACUAUCGGAUGCGGCUAGGUCGGAUUAGCUAGUGGGUGGGGUAGAGGCAUACCACGGCGACGAUCCGUAACUGGUCUGAGAGGAUGAUCAGCCACACUGGAACUGAGACACGGUCCAGACUCCUACGGGAGGCAGCAGUGGGGAAUAUUGGACAAUGGGCGAAAGCCUGAUCCAGCCAUGCCGCGUGUGUGAAGAAGGUCUUCGGAUUGUAAAGCACUUUAAGUUGGGAGGCGUUACCAACAGAAUAAGCACCGGCUAACUCCGUGCCAGCAGCCGCGGUAAUAC
rnacentral:rRNA from 1 species